GACGAACCGUGCGAACGUUGUUCGGAUCACUGGGCUUAAAGGGCGCGUAGGCGGGCAUGCCAGUCAGGGGUGAAAGCUCCCGGCCCAACCGGGAAAGUGCCGUUUGAUACUGCAUGUCUCGAGGGAGGUGAGGGCAGCGUGGAACUUCCGGUGGAGCGGUGAAAUGCGUAGAUAUCGGAAGGAACGCCGGUGGGCGAAAGCGGCGUGCGUGGACCUCUACGUGACGCUGAGGCGCGAAAGCCAGGGGAGCAAAGCGGG
rnacentral:rRNA from 1 species